rnacentral:rRNA from 1 species
UACGUAGGGUGCAAGCGUUGUCCGGAUUUAUUGGGCGUAAAGAGCUCGUAGGCGGUUUGUCGCGUCUGCUGUGAAAACCCGAGGCUCAACCUCGGGCCUGCAGUGGGUACGGUCAGACUAGAGUGCGGUAGGGGAGAUUGGAAUUCCUGGUGUAGCGGUGGAAUGCGCAGAUAUCAGGAGGAACACCAAUGGCGAAGGCAGAUCUCUGGGCCGUAACUGACGCUGAGGAGCGAAAGCAUGGGGAGCGAACAGG